UACGUAGGGUGCAAGCGUUGUCCGGAAUUAGUGGGCGUAAAGAGCUCGUAGGCGGUCUGUCGCGUCUGCUGUGAAAAUCCAGGGCUCAACCCUGGACCUGCAGUGGGUACGGGCAGACUAGAGUGCGGUAGGGGAGAUCGGAAUUCCUGGUGUAGCGGUGAAAUGCGCAGAUAUCAGGAGGAACACCGGUGGCGAAGGCGGAUCUCUGGGCCGUAACUGACGCUGAGGAGCGAAAGCAUGGGGAGCGAACAGG
rnacentral:rRNA from 1 species